UACGGAGGAUGCGAGCGUUAUCCGGAUUUAUUGGGUUUAAAGGGUGCGCAGGCGGCACGGCAAGCCGGCGGUCAAAUCGCGGGGCUCAACCCCGCCCAGCCGUCGGAACUGCCGGGCUAGAGUGGGCGAGAAGUGCGCGGAAUGCGUGGUGUAUCGGUGAAAUGCAUAGAUAUCACGCAGAACUCCGAUUGCGAAGGCAGCGCACCGGCGCCCUACUGACGCUCAGGCACGAAAGCGUGGGUAUCGAACAGG
rnacentral:rRNA from 1 species